AUGGAAGGUACUCUUCCAUUGUGCCAUGGACACUGGUUGUGUAUAAGUUCCACCCAACAGAGCAUACAAGUUGUACAGCCUCUGCUUAUUCUUAGAGGCAGAAAUGCUUUAUAUGUUAAGAGCACACCACUGGUGUCCUUCCCUUUGAUGAUUAUGCAUGAAAUUCUACAUCACUUGCUGCAUCUUCAGGUAUUUAUUUUUGAUGUUUUAAACACUAUCUAUAAAGUAUUUUAUAUAGUCAGAAAUGGCACACAAACCGUUAUUUCUUAUGGUGGAAAUGCAGGUUAUAGUGAGAUUCGGCUUCCAAAAUAG
rnacentral:rRNA from 1 species